UCUCGUUUCUAGCUGAGGUACCUUCCUUCAUCCUAAAAACAAUACAAUUCUAAAUUUAGACUGGAUAAAAAAUUUUAAAUUUAUUUAAAUCUCUACUACUAAGGGCCCGUUCGGAUCCACCCCCAAAUAGCAAAACGUCAAAUGGUAAAAUUUUUGCUCCUGUCACAUCAGAUGUUUGGACGCUAAUUAGAAGUAUUAAAUAUAGUUUAAUUAAAAAACUAAUUACAUAGAUGAGGACUAAAUGACGAGACGAAUCUAUUAAGCCUAAUUAAUCUAUAAUUAGCAAAAUUACGGUAGUAUUUGCCCUUUUGCACUUUGGGGUGUUUGGAUCCAAAAGUGCAAAAAAAAGUGCAAAAGAGCAAAAAUUUUGCACUUUCUGUUUCUCUUUCCCGUUCAUCCGAACGCAGCCUAAAAAGCACUUCCCGUGUUUCUGCCGGCAGAAUCACGGCCCGCCUCUCAGCCCCGCCCCGCGCUUCCCGCCCACGCGACUCCCGAUGGUUCCUCGCUCCCCACCCCGAUGACCUCACCCUUGCUCCGCCACGCCGCCCUCCCCCUCCCGCCGGCCUUCCUGAGACGGCCCGCAAUCCCACAGAAGAACACCCCACCGCCUCAGCUCCCAAUCCGAAGCCUCCCUCCACCGCCGCCACCAACCUCUAGGCUUGCGCAGGCCAAGUGGGGAGCAGAGCAAGGCGGGCGCGUGGCAGCAGCGGUCCUCCUGCUCACCGUCGUCGCGCCGAACUCCCCGUUUGCUCGAGCCGCUCGCCCCCGGAACACCGACAUCGCGACGCAGCCCUCCCCAUCGCGCCGCCGCUGCGCGCAGCCGCGCCGUCGCCUUAGCACACCCGUCCCCCCGCGCCGCCGCCGCCGCGAUGUCCAGCUGUCCCAGCCCUGUCGCGCUACCGCUACACCGUUGUCCCACCGACCCACGCCGACCGACGUUUCCUCUCCCAAUCACGGCCUCCCCCACCCGUCGUCGUCGACGCGUGACGCUGUGGCCGCAGGAUCUCCGCGCGCGGAGGCGGCAGCGCGGCGCCUCCGGCCUCCCCCGGCGCGAAUCCCGACUCCCUCCGCCCCGCCGUGAAUCCGCCGCCCUGCCCCGAUUCUGUGAAUCCCUCCUGUUCCCCUGCCUGCUCGCCCUGCUGCUCCUCCGCACCGUGCUUGACCCGGACCCCGACGCGGCCGCGCUGCUCCCCCUCCAUUUCCGGCAUGACGGCACCUUCAAGAUCCUCCAGGUGGCGGACAUGCUCUUCGGGAACGGCGCCGCAACAUGCUGCCUACGUGGCGCCGGACGGCGGCGGCGCGCACUGCUCGGACCUCAACACCACGCAGUUUCUGCGCCAGGUCAUCGAGGCGGAGAGGUCCGACCUCAUCGCCUUCACAAGUGCGGUUCUGUCUCCUCCUCCUCCUCCUCAAGAGCUGCACCUCCUCCUCCUCGGAGCUGCAGUUGUUGUGCUCCAAAGCUUGCAGCCUUGGCUAAGCAGCUGAGCUAGCCUUGCCGCACUCAUCUCACCUCGCUAGGUUGCACACACUAGGAUUGCAGGCGAGGUGGGGGAAUUCGAUUUGAGCAGCGCUGACCUCGUGAGUGGAUCGGAGGAGCCGAGUUUGGCCACCGCCGAGCUCGAUUAUGCGUGGAGGAGCUCAAUUUGGUGGUUGUCGAGCUCAACUCUGCACAGCGGAACUCGAUUUCGUGGUCCUCGAGCUCGGUCAAAUUGUGAGCUUGCUCCCGUGGGCGAGAUUGCAAGCAGGAUAUGUCCCGCUUCCGCCCAAUCACAUAUAGAUGCAGGCAUGGCCGUUGGUACUGCCCAUAUAUAGUAGUGGCAAUAUAUAACAAUCAGUUGACACAGAUGGGGAUGUCAAAGUGGCAUGAAGCAGCUUCAGUGGCGCAAAACCAUCUUCAUGGCAGCACAUAGCAGCGGUGGAGCUGGGUCAUCAUCAAGGCGGCGCUUAGCAGUCACCGCUGUGGAUCAGGCUGUCAUCAAGGCUGCACUGGGGAGCCGCAACAGCGGCUCUGAGCCAUCGCCCAAUAGCAAGCACAAGCAGCUGUCCAGCAGCAAGCUGCAACCUGCAAGCAUAAGCAGAGCUAUUGCAAUGGUGUUGUACAUAGACGCAGCAUUAAGGUGGAUAAGGAGAUGAAGGUGAAGCAGAUGGGGAAGGAGCAUGUGCCAAUAGCACAUCUGACUUGUGCCUAAAGGAUAGCAGGUUCGGAGUUCUCUUCUCUUCUUUUAAUCUGAUUAACCAUUUUGCUGAUGAAUCAUUUAAUAAUUAUAGGUACCAAUUGUGAAUUUCUAUCAGAUUAUCAUGAUAAUUGAAAUUCUAUAAUUUAUACUGCAAUUAAGGCGCAACAUAUUGCGAAACAUAAUAUAUAGGGUUAAUUUUUGAUAUAUUCUUUCUUUCUCAAUUACUUAGCAGUGCCUAAAUUAUAUCAAUGGUUGCAAGAUUGAUCAGCCACGUGCAACUAAAGAAAAGUCUGUUGCAUUUGGUACUCAUAAUUCUCUAACAUGUAGUGCUGAGGAUUUUCCUUUAAAUUCCAUAACUGUUAUUAGCUAUUUCUAUUUUCCAGCUGCAGAGUCAUGCUUUCAUAAUAGAUAAUUAACUGAGAAUGUACCAUGAAGUGCACAUAGGUAAUUUGGUCCUAUAUGAGCUUAUAUGCAGAUCGAUGCUCCAUUAUUUCACUAAAAGCAUUAUUUUAUGGUCUCAUAUUCCUACCAUCUGGAAAGUUGUACAAUGCGUCUUCAGAGCACUUCCAUUUCAAUGUAUUCUUUUUUACCCUUGUAUGUACAUGAUAUAGUUAUUUGUUAGAAAGAAGUGCAUGAAACGAAUUUGAUCUAAUUGCUAGAAGUCAACAAAAUUUGAAUGAUUAUAGUCUGAUUCUUCAACUUUCGGAGCACUAGCUUUUCAGAUAAAUCUGGGACUAUGGUAUGAAUAAACUACAUGGCAACACUAGCCUACAUGAACUUAUCUGAAUAUGUUUUAACUUCAAAAUUGAUUAUAUAAAAUGAUUCUUUAGGAUAGAUGUAGUAGAUUACUUUUCCUACAAGUUACAUGAUCCUAUUUUUUUCAUGAUGAUAAUCAAAUGGAUGAUUGGUCAAGUCAAGAUUUUUGCUUGGAAAGUCGAACAAUAGUUUACCAACAAAUACUAACAAAUGCUACUAUCACAUUUAGCAGCACAGCUUGUGCGGGUUAUGCGGUUAUCAAGUAGAUGAUUGUUUUCAUGCCUGCAUUAGCUGUCUGCAUACCACAACCCUUUGUUAUGCUACAAGGAACACUGCUUAUUACCAAGUAGGAGGAUAUGGUUCAUAUUGGUCCUGAGUGAUUGAUGCAUCUUACUGAUCAGUAUCAGGCUGAGCUAACUGCUAAUUUCCUCAUGCUUAUAUGGAGAAUUUGGAUUGUUAAAAAUAAUAUCUUGCACCGUCGGGUGCAAAAAUUUCGAUAGAUGGUUUUGUUGUCUUUCUAACAUGCUGUAUGGAAUCACUAUAUCAAAUCCACCAACUGUGAUUAAGCAGAAAAGUAGUGCAAUCUGAUUGGGACUGAAGCGCCAACUGUGAUAAAGCAGAAAAGCCAUGUUCAGAGAUGGAUUCCACAAGCUACGGAUACUUUCAGGAUUAAUGUUGCCGGCUGUGGGAAUCAUCAUUAGGGACCAUGAGGGGAAACUUAAACUAAUAGCUUGGAGAGGAUUCUAUUUCACUGCAGGGACCAAAGGAGCCUGAGGCUACUGCAUGAUGGAAGGGUAUUUGUUUGGACUAACGCUGGCAUGAUGUCCCCGUGGUUCUUGAAACAGAUUGUGCAAAAAUAGCAAGCAAGCUCCAAGCGACAUUGCUGGACAUAUCCUUAGUGCGCCCCUUGAGGAAAGGCGACAGCUAAAGCAUGAGUUAGAUUUUAUCUUUUUCUUCUAUCUUCCAGAGUGCGUGAGAACUCCUAUCUGUAAUGAUAUUUUCUUAACAUUAAUAAAUCUCUUAUUCUGCAAAAAA